UGCUGACAGCUGGAGCCUGUCUGGGUUUUCUCUCUGCCCCCAUCCCACUUGCGCACGCAUGUGCUCGCUCUCUCUCAAAAUAAAGAAAAAAGAUUUCCCAAAGACAUUACGUACCUUUAUCAGGAAACCAGUGAAUCUGUCGCCUACAUCACUGGGUCUCAGUCUCCUCAGCCCUAAAGCGAAGUUCAGAGACCACACAGACUACACCUCUGUGGAUACGGAUCCGCGAGACACGCUCGGUGAGCUCCCUACGCCGGUCUGCUGCGCAGGAACUGCAACCCCUGACUGCCGUACCAGGCGCGCAGCUGGACCACCUCCAGGCAGAGGCGAGCCCCCCUCUCUCUGCACCGGGCCCAGGAAACCGACAGGAGGCUCCGAGGCGUGGUGGGAGGGCACAGGGUCACAGGGUCUCGUGUCAGAGGAACCCCAGAGGUCAUCGGAUGUCACCCCGACCGCUUCCAGAAGAGAAAACGGACAGCAGGGGGGCUGACCGCAUGCCUGGCGUCGUCACAACUAUGAGUGAAGCCCAGCACGCGCCAGGCUCCUUCCACUCAGCCCCGCGGCGUCUCAACAACACGGGCUUCCGCCGACUCAGCAUCUACUCAAAAGCUCCCCGGACGAACAGAGAAACCAUCACUGGCUUCCCACCACCCUAUUCCUACAGAAAAGACCCCACGUUCCCCGAUUUCCCCCCGGGCAGAUACUUCCGGCUUUACCACGUAACGCUCCGCAGCCGAAACCACGGCUCCAGCCACGAGAGACACACGCCCUCGGGACUAAAGCAGUCAUGCCCUUCCCUGACCUUUGGUUAAUCCUCAUUAGAGGGCAGUCCCUGUCCACGAAAACCUCCCCGACUUCUUCAGUCGCGGCACGCUCUCCUUCCUCUGGGUCCUCCCGCCCGUGCACCGUGCGUGGUCCGGGGACUCACAGCCAGGGCGCAGGUCCCCACCACUAGCUGCCCUCUCAGUGCCUGGCUCACACGAGAUGCACGACACUUUUGUGGUUUAGACUUUGUGACAACAAAUCCAGUCUUCGGUGAUUAUCCAAGAACGUUACAGAACCGACCCAAAUAAUACGAGGCGACCAAAGGUUAAACGGUCUGUACGCAUCUUUCCCCAAGAUACGCAAAGCAAGCAUCAAGAGGCUGCCACACGUCGAGAGACGGGACACCCACCCACGGACCCCAGUCUGGCCGGGCCGGUCCACGAGGGGCACCCGUGGAUGGCACCCCCCCACUCACCUGUGAACCAGACUGACGUACGUGAGGAAGGUCUCUCCGUUCUCGUACAGGAUGUACAGCGGGUACCCCACUAUGUCACCUUUGCCUUUCUGUCCAAACAUGGUCUUCGGGACCGCUGACAAUGGCCCGAAGUCAAACGCCACCGCUGUCUCGCCCAGAGACGCAGUGUAUGCCCUUCUGAAAAGACAUUUAAAAACCGAUGGGUCAAAAACAAGAAUGAAAACGAAACGUCUGCUAACAGGAGAUGGGGAUGGAGUUUGCACUCGACGGAGGACACAAAAUAGAGCACAAUUAAACGACAGAAACACGAAAUUAUACCCCGUUUCCUCUUAGUUUAAGCGUACAGACACGCAGACAGGACAGAUACACGCGCACACAGAGAGAAACAGGAAGCAAACGCUGAGCAGAGGGACACGUUCACCCCACAAGUAUCUCCUUCGCAUCGGCCCCGCGUCCCGGGCCCCACGCUGUCACGGGGUGCUGGGGACCCACCAGUGACUUCAACCAAGGCCCCGCCCUCCAGUGAGACACGCAGGGCACAUGCAGAAAGAACACGCAGCACAAAGCCAGGAAAUGACAUUGUCAAGAAAAAUGAAGUUGGGGAGGGGGGCUGCCUCGGGCUGGGCUGCCUGGGAAGGACCCUGACGCGGUGAUGUCUGAACACGGAUUCAAAGGAAGGAGGGGAGGCGUCAGCGGCCACAUGGGAAGGGGGUGGAUGUUGUCUGAGGAAUGAACAGCGAGGAGGCCGAGCUCAGAACCGGGACACAGAGGGAGAAAGAAACUGGAGGGGACAUCCUGUGGGUUGCGGUCAAGAAUAAAGCAGAAUGAAGGGCG